AAGAAAGAAGCAUAGUUGGUUGGAUGCGGUUGGCUUGAAACCAGCGUAUGAGGGUUCGACUCCUUCCUUUCUUG
rnacentral:tRNA from 1 species